rnacentral:rRNA from 1 species
UACGUAGGGUGCAAGCGUUAAUCGGAAUACUGGGCGUAAAGCGUGCGCAGGCGGUUUUGUAAGUCUGUCGUGAAAUCCCCCGGGCUCAACCUUGGGAAUGGCGAUGGAGACUGCAAGGCUAGAAUCUGGCAGAGGGGGGGUAGAAUUCCACGUGUAGCAGUGAAAAUGCGUAGAUAUGUGGAGGAACACCGAUGGCGAAGGCAGCCCCCUGGGCUAAGAUUGACGCUCA